UCGUGUCGUGAGAUGUUGGGUUAAGUCCCGCAACGAGCGCAACCCUCACCUCUUGUUGCCAACAGGUCAUGCUGGGCACUCUAGAGGAACUGCCCCGGUCAACGGGGAGGAAGGCGGGGAUGACGUCAAGUCAUCAUGCCCCUUACGUCCUGGGCUACACACGUGCUACAAUGGCCGGUACAAAGGGAUGCCACACCGCGAGGUAGAGCUAAACCCAAAAAGCCGGUCUAAGUUCAGAUUGGAGCCUGCAACUCGACUCUAUGAAGGAGGAAUCGCUAGUAAUCGC
rnacentral:rRNA from 1 species